rnacentral:rRNA from 1 species
GAGUUUGAUUAUGGCUCAGGAUGAACGCUGACAGAAUGCUUAACACAUGCAAGUCAACUUGAACAUGGGUUUUUAACUUAGGUUUGGGUGGCGGACGGGUGAGUAACGCGUAAAGAACUUGCCUCACAGAUAGGGACAACAUUUAGAAAUGAAUGCUAAUACCUAAUAUUAUGGAAAUAGGGCAUCCUAUAAUUAUGAAAGCUAAAUGCGCUGUGAGAGAGCUUUGCGUCCCAUUAGCUAGUUGGAGAGGUAACGGCUCACCAAGGCGAUGAUGGGUAGCCGGCCUGAGAGGGUGAACGGCCACAAGGGGACUGAGACACGGCCCUUACUCCUACGGGAGGCAGCAGUGGGGAAUAUUGGACAAUGGACCAAGAGUCUGAUCCAGCAAUUCUGUGUGCACGAUGAAGUUUUUCGGAAUGUAAAGUGCUUUCAGUUGGGAAGAAAAGAAUGACGNACCGACAGAAGAAGGACGGUA